UUGAUCCUACGGGGGGCAGCAGUGGGGAAUAUUGCACAAUGGGGGAAACCCUGAUGCAGCGACGCCGCGUGAGUGAAGAAGUAUUUCGGUAUGUAAAGCUCUAUCAGCAGGGAAGAAAAUGACGGUACCUGACUAAGAAGCCCCGGCUAACUGCGUGCCAGCAGCCGCGGUAAUACGUAGGGGGCAAGCGUUAUCCGGAUUUACUGGGUGUAAAGGGAGCGUAGACGGCGAAGAAAGUCUGAAGUGAAAGGUGGGGGCUCAACCCCCGGACUGCUCUGGGAACUGUACGGCUGGAGUGCAGGAGG
rnacentral:rRNA from 1 species